GACGAACGCUGGCGGCGUGCCUAAUACAUGCAAGUCGAACGCAGUGGGGACGGGGGCGUAACAAGUGGGUAACCUGCCAGAAGAGGGGAGAACACUUGGAAACAGGUGCUAAACCGAUACUGGUGGAUGGACCCGCGGUGCAUUAGCUAGUUGGUGAGGUAGCGGCUCACCAGGGCCACGAUGCAGAGCUGACCUGAGAGGUUGAUCGGCCACACUGGGACGGAGACACGGCCCAGACUCCUACGGGAGGCAGCAGUAGGGAAUCUUCGGCAAUGGACGAAAGGCUGACCGAGCCAUGCCGCGUGUGUGAAGAAGGUUUUCGGAUCGUAAAACUCUGUUGUUAGAGAAGCGGUACCUAACCAGAAAGCCACGGCUAACUCCGUGCCAGCAGCCGCGGUAAUAC
rnacentral:rRNA from 1 species